rnacentral:precursor_RNA from 15 species
CGUAUCUUGUCGACCCGUGUCAACUUCCAGGUGAGUUUGAAAUUGAAAUGCGUAAAUUGUUUGGUACAAUUUAAAUUCGAUUUCUUAUUCAUAGGUGCAAUACCAGUUGAUCUUUUGCCUGUGG